rnacentral:lncRNA from 1 species
GUACAGCAAAGUGACCCAGUCAUAUAUAUAUAUAUAUAUAUAUAUAUAUACCUUCCCUUGCUUAUAUUCUCUUCCAACAUGGUCUAUCCCAAGAGAUUGGAUAUAGCUCCCUGUGCUAUACACCUCUGUUUUUACACUCCACUGUGGCACAACAGGAUCGGUAGCAUCUUCGGAGCUGUGGGGCACAGGUUCAAUCCCCGGCCUGGCACAGUGGGUUAAGGAUCUGGUGUUGCCAUAGCUAUGGCUAAGGUGGCAACUAUGGCUAGGAUCUGAUCCCUGGCCUGGGAAAUCCAUGUGCCACAGAGCAGCCAAAAAAAAAAAAAAAAAAGAGUUUAUUACAUGUGUUUUGUAUACCCAACUGGAGCCACAUUAAGCUUUGAUAUACAAGAAAAGAAACACACACCAUCUUUUCUCCAGAGUCAGUAAGAUUUUCUAUUUGUCCAAUAAUUUACUGAUUUGAGCAGGCCACACUUGCUAGAGCUCAGCUGCGACAAGGAAGAGUUGUGCCUACAUCAUAGGCACUCAAAAGGGAUGGGCACCCAGGGAGUCGGGGUGGAACAACCAGGUGGGCACAGACCGGUAGAGGGGAUAAGUCUGUGCCCUCUAGCUGCCUCAGGCCACCUUGACUGAGACCUCAGUCCCAUUCUUUAAUAUAAAAAGCCUUGCUGAAAGCUGCCAGAGAUGGAAAGAGAAAUCCAACAUGGAUCCCAUUUCCAAAAACACAGAGAAUUUAAUUCAUCCCCCAGGGCCCACUUGGCCAUUGGGCUUGCUGGGCUUGUCCAGAUUCUUGGUUUGACUGACAUGCCAUCUUCUCCCCCUCAGGCUUCCAUUCCUAAUAUCCACUGAUGCAGAUCACAUGCCCCAUGUCCUCUCUGAGUUCAGGCAUCUGGAUCCAGACUCCAGAGCUCCGGGGAGUCUGCUGAAUGCAUGGAUGCUUUGAUAGCCCCCAAAUCUACACUCACUCAGGAGUUAACAUCUGCAACCUAAGAUACUGGCAUCCCUUGGGGACUCCAACUUUUAGAUCCAACUGAGUGGGAAAAGAAGAUUUAAAAUAUAAAUGAGAAGUAUGUGAACACCUGCCAUAAGUUCUCUCUCUCCACACACAUACACACAGGUGUGUGUAUGUAUAUUCAAAUAUACUAAAAGUUCUACUAAAAGUAGCUAGCAAGCAUCGAGCAUAAACUCUGUGUGUGUUUCAGAUGUAUGAUCUCAUGUAAUCCUCACAAGUUUCUUAGAUGGAGAUGUACUGUUCCCACUUUGCAGAAGAGGAAAUCAGAGCUCAGAGUGCUGACAUGGCUUCCUCGGAGACACAUACAGUGUUGAGCUGGGUUUUGAAUCCAGGGAGUUGGAUUUCCAAGUGCAUGAUCUUACACAGGGUAUCUUACAAAAAGAAUGGUUAUGGAGGUCAUGGACUAACUCCAUAAAGUGCAAAUAAAGAGAUGGCAAUAAAGUGAAUGUUUUAACCUCAGUGGCUCCCCACUCAAUCUACAUUUGCUAGAUAAUGGCCUUCCUUCCUUUCACUGCGGGCGCUGUUGGCUCCUUUGGGUAGAAAUACGCUGAUGCCUGCAUCUUCCCGGAGCACACUCAGCUUAAAAAAAGAUGAGCUCAGGGUAAGGACUGAUCCCUUUCCAUGCUUCAUUGACAAAACCUACCAAACUCUCCCUCAGUCAAACUCAUGUGUUCCUCAUCCCAGAAAAAUGCAUGUGGUAGCCAGGCUAGAAGAAGAGAUCUGGAAUGAUAUCCACCUCUUGACUGUGUAAAAUUCACUACCAUCCUUUUCCAGCAGUAAAGGAUUCCAAGGUUUAAUUUCCACUUCCCCAGUGUUCUUACAGAUUCUGAAUUAUUUCCAUGUUCCCAACACAGGAAUAUUUAAAAAAAAAAAAAAAGGCUAAAUCAGUCACAGAAAAAUCACUUCAAAAUCAUUUAGGAAGAGAAAAAAAUAGCAUCAAAAAUUGAGAGAUUUAGGAGUUUCCACUGUGGCUCAGUGGGUUAAGAACCCAACAUGGUGGCAGUGAUAUUGCAGGUUCGACCCCUAGCCUCACUCAGUGGGUUAAGGAUUUGGCAUUGCUGCAAGCUGUGGUGCAGGUCGCAGAUGCAACCUGGACCCAGCUGUGGCUGUGGCUGUGGUGUAGGCCUGAAGCUGCAGCUCCAAUUGGACCCCUAGCCUGGGAACUUCCAUAUGCUGCAGGCACAACCAUAAAAAGAAAAAAAAAAAAUUGAGAGAUUUAUCAGCAAAUAAAUCUUCACACUCCUGUAGAUUAAGAGUUCCCGCUCUUGUUGCAAUUGUCUCCACACAGUGUCAUUCCUCAACACACCUAAAAAUGCUCUGAUUUUAGGAGCUGUUGCUAGCAGGAUACUGCCCACGCACAUGCUGGGUUGGAAUAUGGCUCCACUUCCCCAUCAGUCACAGGGAUCUUUUCAUCUCUGAAUGUCAAUGGAGGACCCAAAGUGCAGGGUAUGAAGAGAGACCCCCUACCUCACAGCAGCCUAAGGUGCUAAUGUUGGGUGUAUGCAGUUAACACAGUUGUCUGGGUAUUUAGCAUUGCCUUGAUAUUUCAAGAUGCAUCGGAAGCCAUUGGUCAGUUCUGCCCCAAUGAGACACUUCACUCUUAGAGAGUCUUCUAUGGUUUGAGGAAACAAUUCCUUUUCCAAGUUUGAUUACAAAAAAAAAAAGAAAAAAGAAAAAGAAAAGAAAGAAAGAAAGAAAGAAAGAAAGAAAGAAAGAAAGAAAGAAAGAAAGAGAAAAAGAAAAACAACAGCCACAAAUCAUUCCCUUAAGUGUAUCCAAAUCUCUUUGCAAUGUGACUUAGCAGACUCUGUCAUCAAGAGCGGGCAUCUAUAGCUCCACCUUAUGAAUGAUUUGAUUUGGCAUAUAAAAUGUGGCACGAGUACCAAUAUGGCAAUUUUUGACGCUACGGCCUUGCAGCUUCCAUUCCCUCUUAGAACUCUGUCUAUUCACCCCAAGGACAAGCUGGGAGAAUGAGGGAUCACAUGGACCAGAUCCAAGUCAGCACAGCCAGCCCAGCUGCAGCCUCAGGCGUGAGAGGCCAGGAUGAUCAGAGGAGCUUCAAAUUACACCCCCCAGCUCCCCCAGAUGCCAGAGGAGCCCAGCUGAACCAGCAAAAGGGUCCCCCUGACCCUCUAUCAGCCUGUCAGCCCAUACAGGAGUGAUGGAAAUACAGGGUGGUUAUUUUAAGGCACUAAGUUUUGGGGUGGUUUGUUGUACAGCAAAAACCAACUCAUAUACUUAUUCUGUAAAUAACUACAAGAAAUGAUUAAGGGAGGGAGAAUGAUAAAGGGAAAAUCCCUCUUAACAGAAAACUUAAAAUUUAAUAAAGAACAAUCAAAUAUUGUCUUUUCUUCUGUAAAGUAGAUUUAUUUACGGUAUGUUCAACUACGCCACUACAUAAUAACACAACCUGACUUCAAUUAAUAGUAUUAAAAAAAAACUAACUUUUUGGAAAUGAUGGUGUGGAAGGAAUGUGUAUGGGCGAUUAGGAAAUAUGCAUUUUCACCUGGGUUCUUUCACCGGUGAGGAACGUAAUUGUGCCAGAUCUCAUUCCCUGACCCUCAAUUACAAGAGAGAAACAUGAAGGGAUUUGAUGGGAUAACUUAACCAAGACCUUGUUCAAUUCUAAAAUGAUAUGUUUUAUGUCAUUUUUCUGAAACAUUAGCAUUUUUUACCACUACAUCUCUACAAUGGAAUAAAGACACUGCAUUUAACCCUCCGACUGAAUUACUAUCUUCAACACGCCCAGCACUGCUCUAUGUCAUGAUAACACAUGUAGCAGUGCAGAGAGGAUGACCAUACCCCAGAGGUGUGCUAGAGUGUUCUUCCAAGCUCAUGAGAGCCAACCGUGUCCUUCCCUUCCCAAAUCUGUGUUCAGUGGCGAUGUGCCGGUAGCUUGACAUCAGAUACAGUGGAAGUAUCUACACGAGGGAAAUCAGCAAAUGCCACAAAUCAUUCUUCCCAGCGGGAGAGCCAGUUGUUAAACACGGACCAGGACAACUCGGACUCCUCUCCCAUUGAGUCAAUAUGCUAACAGGGGAGCUAGACAUUGUCUAACUAUGUGAAAAAUAUUUCUGUACACCUGUGAGAAAUGUGGCAAAGCAAAGGAGGGGGGGCAAUGCCAAGGCUGAUGACACAUCUUCCAAGCAGAGGGAAAGCACUGGGGACACUUGAAGCAGAAGGAGAGGGAGGGAGGCCAGCUGGCUAGUGUGACUGGAGCACAAAAAGGCAAAAGGCCAGGAGCUUGAAGGGAAGGUGGAGAAGGAGGUGUAAAGGAAGACUUCCAGGGCUCAGAUGGUGUAACUUUGAAGGGUGGUGACUUUCAUAAGCCAACAGGACCAGGUCUGGGUUGAAGGCAGGAAGAGAACAAUACCACCCAUAGAAAUGCUGGGUCUCAGGUAUCAAAGGGACCGGGCAAUGGACGGUGAUAUAAAAUUGGGAGCCACUAGGUCUAGAUGAUAAAAUUAAGCUAUACGUUCAGAUGUGAUUCUGGGAGUAGAGAAGGAGAGCAACUUAGAGUCAACAAAAUAAACUGGGUGGUUGGGGAAAAGGGGAAAUGUAUGAGAACAAAGCAGUCCAGAAUAUCACGUUUGAAGGAAAAUAAGGCAACCAACAAUUCUAAUACUAUUCCGAUAAAAGAUCAAAAGCACAAAGAGAGCUAAAAAUGACCAAUGUGUUUCCCGUCGUGGCGCAGUGGUUAACGAAUCCGACUAGGAACCAUGAGGCUGCAGGUUCGAUCCCUGCCCUUGCUCAGUGGGUUAAGAAUCUGGCAUUGCCAUGAGCUGUGGCGCAGGCCAGUUAGACCCCUAGCCUGGGAACCUCCAUAUGCUGCAGGUGCGGCCCUAGACAAGACAAAAAAAAAAAAAAAA